AAAUUGAAGAGUUUGAUCAUGGCUCAGAUUGAACGCUGGCGGCAGGCCUAACACAUGCAAGUCGAACGGUAACAGGAAGCAGCUUGCUGCUUCGCUGACGAGUGGCGGACGGGUGAGUAAUGUCUGGGAAACUGCCUGAUGGAGGGGGAUAACUACUGGAAACGGUAGCUAAUACCGCAUAAUGUCGCAAGACCAAAGAGGGGGACCUUCGGGCCUCUUGCCAUCGGAUGUGCCCAGAUGGGAUUAGCUUGUUGGUGGGGUAACGGCUCACCAAGGCGACGAUCCCUAGCUGGUCUGAGAGGAUGACCAGCCACACUGGAACUGAGACACGGUCCAGACUCCUACGGGAGGCAGCAGUGGGGAAUAUUGCACAAUGGGCGCAAGCCUGAUGCAGCCAUGCCGCGUGUAUGAAGAAGGCCUUCGGGUUGUAAAGUACUUUCAGCGG
rnacentral:rRNA from 1 species